GAUGAACGCUGGCGGCGUGCCUAAUACACGCAAGUCGAGCGAACAGACGAGGAGCUUGCUCCUCUGACGUUAGCGGCGGACGGGUGAGUAACACGUGGAUAACCUACCUAUAAGACUGGGAUAACUUCGGGAAACCGGAGCUAAUACCGGAUAAUAUAUUGAACCGCAUGGUUCAAUAGUGAAAGACGGUUUUGCUGUCACUUAUAGAUGGAUCCGCGCCGCAUUAGCUAGUUGGUAAGGUAACGGCUUACCAAGGCAACGAUGCGUAGCCGACCUGAGAGGGUGAUCGCCCACACUGGAACUGAGCCACGGUCCAGACUCCUACGGGAGGCAGCAGUAGGGAAUCUUCCGCAAUGGGCGAAAGCCUGACGGAGCAACGCCGCGUGAGUGAUGAAGGUCUUCGGAUCGUAAAACUCUGUUAUUAGGGAAGAACAAAUGUGUAAGUAACUAUGCACGUCUUGACGGUACCUAAUCAGAAAGCCACGGCUAACUACGUG
rnacentral:rRNA from 1 species